AAACGGAGGUCUUACAGAGUUGCAAACUCCCUAAACCAUUGUGAACGUUACCUAUACCGUUGCUUCGGCGGGCGGCCCCGGGGUUUACCCCCCGGGCGCCCCUGGGCCCCACCGCGGGCGCCCGCCGGAGGUCACCAAACUCUUGAUAAUUUAUGGCCUCUCUGAGUCUUCUGUACUGAAUAAGUCAAAACUUUCAACAACGGAUCUCUUGGUUCUGGCAUCGAUGAAGAACGCAGCGAAAUGCGAUAAGUAAUGUGAAUUGCAGAAUUCAGUGAAUCAUCGAAUCUUUGAACGCACAUUGCGCCCGCCAGCAUUCUGGCGGGCAUGCCUGUUCGAGCGUCAUUUCAACCAUCAAGCCCCCGGGCUUGUGUUGGGGACCUGCGGCUGCCGCAGGCCCUGAAAAGCAGUGGCGGGCUCGCUGUCGCACCGAGCGUAGUAGCAUACAUCUCGCUCUGGUCGCGCCGCGGGUUCCGGCCGUUAAACCACCUUUUAACCCAAGGUUGACCUCGGAUCAGGUAGGAAGACCCGCUGAACUUAAGCAUAUCAAUAAGCGGAGGAA
rnacentral:rRNA from 1 species